rnacentral:rRNA from 1 species
GGUUAAGCGACUAAGCGUACACGGUGGAUGCCCUGGCAGUCAGAGGCGAUGAAGGACGUGCUAAUCUGCGAUAAGCGUCGGUAAGGUGAUAUGAACCGUUAUAACCGGCGAUUUCCGAAUGGGGAAACCCAGUGUGUUUCGACACACUAUCAUUAACUGAAUCCAUAGGUUAAUGAGGCGAACCGGGGGAACUGAAACAUCUAAGUACCCCGAGGAAAAGAAAUCAACCGAGAUUCCCCCAGUAGCGGCGAGCGAACGGGGAGGAGCCCAGAGCCUGAAUCAGUGUGUGUGUUAGUGGAAGCGUCUGGAAAGGCGCGCGAUACAGGGUGACAGCCCCGUACACAAAAAUGCACAUGCUGUGAGCUCGAUGAGUAGGGCGGGACACGUGGUAUCCUGUCUGAAUAUGGGGGGACCAUCCUCCAAGGCUAAAUACUCCUGACUGACCGAUAGUGAACCAGUACCGUGAGGGAAAGGCGAAAAGAACCCCGGCGAGGGGAGUGAAAAAGAACCUGAAACCGUGUACGUACAAGCAGUGGGAGCCUCUUUUAUGGGGUGACUGCGUACCUUUUGUAUAAUGGGUCAGCGACUUAUAUUCUGUAGCAAGGUUAACCGAAUAGGGGAGCCGAAGGGAAACCGAGUCUUAACUGGGCGUUAAGUUGCAGGGUAUAGACCCGAAACCCGGUGAUCUAGCCAUGGGCAGGUUGAAGGUUGGGUAACACUAACUGGAGGACCGAACCGACUAAUGUUGAAAAAUUAGCGGAUGACUUGUGGCUGGGGGUGAAAGGCCAAUCAAACCGGGAGAUAGCUGGUUCUCCCCGAAAGCUAUUUAGGUAGCGCCUCGUGAAUUCAUCUCCGGGGGUAGAGCACUGUUUCGGCAAGGGGGUCAUCCCGACUUACCAACCCGAUGCAAACUGCGAAUACCGGAGAAUGUUAUCACGGGAGACACACGGCGGGUGCUAACGUCCGUCGUGAAGAGGGAAACAACCCAGACCGCCAGCUAAGGUCCCAAAGUCAUGGUUAAGUGGGAAACGAUGUGGGAAGGCCCAGACAGCCAGGAUGUUGGCUUAGAAGCAGCCAUCAUUUAAAGAAAGCGUAAUAGCUCACUGGUCGAGUCGGCCUGCGCGGAAGAUGUAACGGGGCUAAACCAUGCACCGAAGCUGCGGCAGCGACACUAUGUGUUGUUGGGUAGGGGAGCGUUCUGUAAGCCUGUGAAGGUGUGCUGUGAGGCAUGCUGGAGGUAUCAGAAGUGCGAAUGCUGACAUAAGUAACGAUAAAGCGGGUGAAAAGCCCGCUCGCCGGAAGACCAAGGGUUCCUGUCCAACGUUAAUCGGGGCAGGGUGAGUCGACCCCUAAGGCGAGGCCGAAAGGCGUAGUCGAUGGGAAACAGGUUAAUAUUCCUGUACUUGGUGUUACUGCGAAGGGGGGACGGAGAAGGCUAUGUUGGCCGGGCGACGGUUGUCCCGGUUUAAGCGUGUAGGCUGGUUUUCCAGGCAAAUCCGGAAAAUCAAGGCUGAGGCGUGAUGACGAGGCACUACGGUGCUGAAGCAACAAAUGCCCUGCUUCCAGGAAAAGCCUCUAAGCAUCAGGUAACAUCAAAUCGUACCCCAAACCGACACAGGUGGUCAGGUAGAGAAUACCAAGGCGCUUGAGAGAACUCGGGUGAAGGAACUAGGCAAAAUGGUGCCGUAACUUCGGGAGAAGGCACGCUGAUAUGUAGGUGAAGUCCCUCGCGGAUGGAGCUGAAAUCAGUCGAAGAUACCAGCUGGCUGCAACUGUUUAUUAAAAACACAGCACUGUGCAAACACGAAAGUGGACGUAUACGGUGUGACGCCUGCCCGGUGCCGGAAGGUUAAUUGAUGGGGUCAGCGCAAGCGAAGCUCUUGAUCGAAGCCCCGGUAAACGGCGGCCGUAACUAUAACGGUCCUAAGGUAGCGAAAUUCCUUGUCGGGUAAGUUCCGACCUGCACGAAUGGCGUAAUGAUGGCCAGGCUGUCUCCACCCGAGACUCAGUGAAAUUGAACUCGCUGUGAAGAUGCAGUGUACCCGCGGCAAGACGGAAAGACCCCGUGAACCUUUACUAUAGCUUGACACUGAACAUUGAGCCUUGAUGUGUAGGAUAGGUGGGAGGCUUUGAAGUGUGGACGCCAGUCUGCAUGGAGCCGACCUUGAAAUACCACCCUUUAAUGUUUGAUGUUCUAACGUUGACCCGUGAUCCGGGUUGCGGACAGUGUCUGGUGGGUAGUUUGACUGGGGCGGUCUCCUCCUAAAGAGUAACGGAGGAGCACGAAGGUUGGCUAAUCCUGGUCGGACAUCAGGAGGUUAGUGCAAUGGCAUAAGCCAGCUUGACUGCGAGCGUGACGGCGCGAGCAGGUGCGAAAGCAGGUCAUAGUGAUCCGGUGGUUCUGAAUGGAAGGGCCAUCGCUCAACGGAUAAAAGGUACUCCGGGGAUAACAGGCUGAUACCGCCCAAGAGUUCAUAUCGACGGCGGUGUUUGGCACCUCGAUGUCGGCUCAUCACAUCCUGGGGCUGAAGUAGGUCCCAAGGGUAUGGCUGUUCGCCAUUUAAAGUGGUACGCGAGCUGGGUUUAGAACGUCGUGAGACAGUUCGGUCCCUAUCUGCCGUGGGCGCUGGAGAACUGAGGGGGGCUGCUCCUAGUACGAGAGGACCGGAGUGGACGCAUCACUGGUGUUCGGGUUGUCAUGCCAAUGGCACUGCCCGGUAGCUAAAUGCGGAAGAGAUAAGUGCUGAAAGCAUCUAAGCACGAAACUUGCCCCGAGAUGAGUUCUCCCUGACUCCUUGAGAGUCCUGAAGGAACGUUGAAGACGACGACGUUGAUAGGCCGGGUGUGUAAGCGCAGCGAUGCGUUGAGCUAACCGGUACUAAUGAACCGUGAGGCUUAACCUU